CAGUCGCCGCGGGAAUACCGAGGGUGCAAGCGUUAAUCGGAAUUACUGGGCGUAAAGCGCGCGUAGGUGGUUCGCCAAGUUGGAUGUGAAAUCCCCGGGCUCAACCUGGGAACUGCAUCCAAAACUGGCGAGCUAGAGUAUGGUAGAGGGUGGUGGAAUUUCCUGUGUAGCGGUGAAAUGCGUAGAUAUAGGAAGGAACAUCAGUGGCGAAGGCGACCACCUGGACUGAUACUGACACUGAGGUGCGAAAGCGUGGGGAGCAAACAGGAUUAGAUACCCGUGUAGUCCCUGUCUCUUAUAC
rnacentral:rRNA from 1 species